rnacentral:rRNA from 1 species
AGGAGGCAGCAGUGGGGAAUCUUGCACAAUGGGGGAAACCCUGAUGCAGCGACGCCGCGUGAGCGAUGAAGCCCUUCGGGGUGUAAAGCUCUUUCGGCAGGGAAGAAUCAUGACGGUACCUGCAGAAGCAGCUGCGGCUAACUACGUGCCAGCAGCCGCGGUAAUACGUAGGCAGCGAGCGUUGUUCGGAGUUACUGGGCGUAAAGGGUGCGUAGGCGGUUCUUUAAGUUUGGUGUGAAAUCUCCCGGCUCAACUGGGAGGGUGCGCCGGAUACUGAAGGACUAGAGUGCGGGAGGGGAGAGUGGAAUUCCUGGUGUAGCGGUGAAAUGCGUAGAUAUCAGGAGGAACACCUGUGGUGCAAACGGCUCUCUGGACCGUAACUGACGCUGAGGCACGAAAGCGUGGGGAGCAAACAGGAUUAGAUACCCUCGUAC